UGGGGAAUUUUGGACAAUGGGGGAAACCCUGAUCCAGCCAUCCCGCGUGUGCGAUGAAGGCCUUCGGGUUGUAAAGCACUUUUGGCAGGAAAGAAACGUCAUGGGUUAAUACCCCGUGAAACUGACGGUACCUGCAGAAUAAGCACCGGCUAACUACGUGCCAGCAGCCGCGGUAAUGCGUAGGGUGCAAGCGUUAAUCGGAAUUACUGGGCGUAAAGCGUGCGCAGACGGUUCGGAAAGAAAGAUGUGAAAUCCCAGAGCUCAACUUUGGAACUGCAUUUUUAACUACCGGGCUAGAGUGUGUCAGAGGGAGGUGGAAUUCCGCGUGUAGCAGUGAAAUGCGUAGAUAUGCGGAGGAACACCGAUGGCGAAGGCAGCCUCCUGGGAUAACACUGACGCUCAUGCACGAAAGCGUGGGGAGCAAACAGG
rnacentral:rRNA from 1 species